UUGAUGGUGCUUUCAUUCAGAUGUGCAUAAUCAGCAUCUGACAGGUGUCUUUUUGUGAAUUGUUGUAUUCUCUCCAACUCUUUUUGUGAUGAUGUGUCAUCAGGUACUCUGCCAUGAGGACGUCUGGACAGUCCGUCCGCGUCUUGACUCUGCUUACCAGCUCUGUACUGUAGCUGGAAAUCGAAUGUCGACAGAGCGGCCAACCAUCUGUAGCUCGUGGCAUCGAGCUUAGCUGAGGUAAGAAUGUAUGUUAAUGGAUUGCUAUCUGUGACAGCAAGGAAUGUGUUUCCGUACAGGUAAUCCUGGAAUUUCUCUGUUACUGCCCACUUAAGGGCAAGAAAUUCUAGCUUAUGUGCAGGAUACCUGGACUCACACUUCGACAGACCUUGGCUCGCAUAAGCAAUGACACGCUGCUGUCCUUGUUGCUCCUGGUAGAGAGCACCGAGGCCCAAAGUGCUUGCAUCUGUAUGUAAAAUGUAGGAGAGCUUGGGGUCAGCAAACCCAAGGAUUGGUGCGGUUGUCAGCUUUUCGAUUAUGGUGUCGAACGCUGCUUGGCAAGCAGGUGUCCAUCUGUCACCAAAGAUGUCCUUUGGAUUGAAAUACUUCUCAGGAUUCACUGUGGUUUUAGAAUGCUUCCUUAGCGGUGGAUAGCCAGCAGUGAGGUCGUUGAGUGGCUUCACGAUCUUUGAGUAGUCUUUAAUGAACCGGCGGUAGUAACCGCAGAAACCCAGGAAGGUUCUUAGCUCUUUCAAGUUGUUUGGUUUUGGCCAGGUUUUUAAUGCUGCUAUUUUAUCAGGGUCGGUCUCGACGCCCUUUUCAGACACAAUGUGGCCGAGGUACUUUACAGAAGUUUGGUAGAACUUGCAUUUCUCUGGUGACAGUUUCAAGCCAAACUCUUUCAAUCGGUUGAGCACGCGCAUCAACCUUUCUUCGUGCUCCUCUAAUGUAGAGGAGAAGAUAAUGAGGUCAUCCAGGAAGACUAGGGCUUCCUUCAAAUUUAACUCUCCCAUACAGCGCUCCAUAAGUCUCUGGAACGUGCUAGGGGUUGGUUAUCCCCUGAGGCAUCCUGUUGAAUUCGAAGAAUCCUAGAGGACAGACAAAUGCGGUUUUGUGUUUGUCUGCUUCCUCCAUCUCUAUUUGAUAGAAGCCUGAUUUCAGAUCGAGCACUGAGAACCACCUGGACCCGGUCAAUGCUGAGAAGGAUUCUUCCAGAUUAGAAAGGUGACUCCGAUUCACGGAUGACUUCUGCAUCGAGGAGUUGCUGGAGAUGGACCUGUGAUCAGGAGCUGGCUGAGAUGAGCCGCAGUCUUCUUCACCCUGCACAUAAACACCUUGAUAAUGAGAAGACACUUUUGGCUUUGAAGCACUGAAGUGCUGUUUCAUGCGUGAAGCUUUGGAAGAACGUUUAUCUUCUGCUGUGCGGAGUAACAGGAGAAGUUCAGCAAAGGUAGGUGGAUUCUGCUUCUUUUGUUCUAGCUGGAGUUCAGCUAUCAAGAUGUCAUCCCAGCAGCCUCUGACAAACUGUCUGAGAAGGUGCCGGUUAAGGUCAUUUGCAGUUACACCUCCCCUUCUGAGGGUGGUGCUCAGCAUCACCUGCAGCCGUUGUAGAUAAGCUGAAGGUUUUUCACCAUUAUUCUGCAUUGUGUUGAGAUACUUUGCAAAGAGGUCAUCUCCAUCCUCGACUGUGCCGAAAGCAGAGUCCAAGAUCUCCAAGUAUGCAUCAAGAGGAGAAUCAGGUGUCAGGUGCCUCACAAUAUCAAUGGCGGGUGAUAAGAGACUUUCGAGAAGCUUUCGUGACUUGUAAAGAUCAGACUGUGUUGUAUCUUUAAGAAGAAGUUCCACAUUGGAGCGCCAUGUCUCAUAAUCCACUUCACUGUUGAGACGUGGGACACGCCCAGAGAAGGGUCUGAGUCUCAAGGAAGUGUGCACCUGCAGAGCAGAGUCUUCAUUUCUUAUUAUGUGCUCAACGAUUACUUUUUGUAUGUCAGGUGGAUUGACAUCAGAAAGUUUCAGAGCAGGCUGUGUCUUUUCUUGAGAUGGUGUCGAUGGUGGAAACCAAUGAUGUUGAACACGCUGCUGCAAGACCAUACUGGGCAGGGGGGUUACCUGUACAGCAUUUUCAGGGGCAUGUUGUUCUGCUCUGCAUCUUCAUCUUGGGACUCUGAGUGAUCUAGUUCGACAGUCUCACCGAUGAGGGAGAGCUCUUCUCUGAGGACAACUGCAAAGCCUUUACCAGUCUGUUUUGCAAUGUCUUUUAACUGUGAAAGGUAAGUCUGUGUAGCUGUCUUGCUAGCUACGGGUGUGUAAACAUUAGCUAGGGCUCUGAUGUGGUAGGUGACAUCAGUCUUAGUCUUACUGUUAAGCCUGUAUGGCAAUGAAGGUAAGAGAGAUUGCAUAGCUGUACCAUACACAUACUCUACGAUAACCUAUUUGGCUGAAUCUGGUUCAGUGAGAUCCACUGGGAUUACUCUUUGAAUGGAACCAUAUUGUCCCAAGAAGUCGCUUAGUUCGUCAUCAGUUUCUGUAUUGGUCAUGCCGCUAACUAUGACAGAGUUAGGGAAAUUUACAUUACUUGUUUGAACGAUAUCCAUGUUUUUUUUUAACACUGAUAAUAUUAUAUGGUCUCUGGUUUCUAGUUAAAGUGCUUUAAGCCACUCCUGGCUGGCUCACCAAGUUUGUAGCACUGGUAUCCCACUGCUAACCGCGCCACUGGACCAGUUCUAGGCUCUAAGGAGUGGGGAGCAAGAAUAACAGCAUCAGAGACCGCUGCUUAAGUGUAAUAAACUAAUAAUUUACUAAAUGUAAAACACAAAAAUAAGAUGCAACACAUAAACAAAGAAAACUCUACAGAUUCUCAAUAAGAAGGUAAAUGAAACAAAAAAAAAGAAAAUAAAGAAUAUAUCACUCUUCACCAAAAUUAAAUACAAUUAUU